rnacentral:rRNA from 1 species
GACGAACGCUGGCGGCGUGCCUAAUACAUGCAAGUAGAACGCACAGUUUAUACCGUAGCUUGCUACACCAUAGACUGUGAGUUGCGAACGGGUGAGUAACGCGUAGGUAACCCGCCUGGUAGCGGGGGAUAACUAUUGGAAACGAUAGCUAAUACCGCAUAAUAUUAAUUAUUGCAUGAUAAUUAAUUGAAAGGUGCAAUUGCACCACUACCAGAUGGACCUGCGUUGUAUUAGCUAGUAGGUGAGGUAACGGCUCACCUAGGCGACGAUACAUAGCCGACCUGAGAGGGUGAUCGGCCACACUGGGACUGAGACACGGCCCAGACUCCUACGGGAGGCAGCAGUAGGGAAUCUUCGGCAAUGGACGAAAGUCUGACCGAGCAACGCCGCGUGAGUGAAGAAGGUUUUCGGAUCGUAAAGCUCUGUUGUAAGAGAAGAACGGGUGUGAGAGUGGAAAGUUCACACUGUGACGGUAUCUUACCAGAAAGGGACGGCUAACUACGUG